GACGAACGCUGGCGGUGUGCUUAACACAUGCAAGUGGUGCGACGAACCAGAGCUUGCUCUGGGGCAAAGCCGCGAACGGGUGAGUAACACGUGGGUAAUCUACCCCGAUGACCGGGACAACCCGAGGAAACUCGGGCUAAUACCGGAUGUGGUACGGAGACAUAAGUCUCUUUACUAAAGGUAGCUUCGGCUUCCGCAUUGGGAGGGGCCCGCGGCCCAUUAGCUAGUUGGUGGGGUCAAGGCCUACCAAGGCAACGAUGGGUAGCUGGUCUGAGAGGACGAUCAGCCACACUGGGACUGAGACACGGCCCAGACUCCUACGGGAGGCAGCAGUGGGGAAUCUUGCGCAAUGCGCGAAAGCGUGACGCAGCAACACCGCGUGAGGGAAGACGGCCUUAGGGUUGUAAACCUCUUUCAGAUGGGACGAAGGUGAUGCGGUGAAUAGCCGAUGUCAUUGACGGUACCGUCAGAAGAAGCUCCGGCUAACUACGUGCCAGCAGCC
rnacentral:rRNA from 1 species